rnacentral:rRNA from 1 species
UACGUAGGUGACAAGCGUUGUCCGGAUUUACUGGGCGUAAAGAGCGCGCAGGCGGUCGUUCAAGUCGAGUGUGAAAGCCCCCGGCUCAACUGGGGAGGGUCACUCGAUACUGAUCGACUCGAAGGCAGGAGAGGGUAGUGGAAUUCCCGGUGUAGUGGUGAAAUGCGUAGAUAUCGGGAGGAACACCGGUGGCGAAGGCGGUUCUCUGGGCAUGACCUGACGCUGAGGAGCGAAAGCAUGGGGAGCGAACAGG